rnacentral:tRNA from 1 species
AAUGAAGUGCCUGAAUAAAGGAUUAUUUUGAUAGAAUAAAAAAUGUAAUAAUUUUAUUAUUACCUUCAUUA